CUUUCUUCCUCAAUCUCGCCUCCCCUCAAAUCUCUCUUUCUCGCGAAACCCUAGCCCCGCGCGGCCGCCAUGGACGGAAUCGACGCGGAGCUCGCGCGCGCGCAGGACGAGCGCCGGAAGCUGGAGGAGGCCCUGGCGGCGGGCGCGCCCAUGGCCGUCUCCUCCGUCACCUUCGACAAGGACCUCUACGGCGGGGGCGCCUCGGGGCCCGACCGAUUCGCCGGCUACGACACCUCCAUCCCGGCCUCCGAGGACGACGCGCCCGAGGAUGACAGCGCCGAUCCCGCCGCUGCCAACCCGGCCGCGCGCCGCCUCGCGUCUUACACGGGUCACGCCCUCGCCGCCGCCGACAUCCCCCGGUCGGACGACGACGGGGUCCCCGCCAAGAGGUCCCAGCGCAUCAUCGACCGCGAGGACGAUUACCGGCGCCGCCGCCUCGACCGCAUCAUCUCGCCCGAGCGCCAUGACCCCUUCGCCGCCGGGGAGAAGACCCCGGACCCCUCCGUCAGGACCUACGGUGACGCCAUGCGCGAGAGCAAGGUGCAGCAGGAGAAGGAGCACGUGCUGCGCGAGAUCGCUAAGAAGAAGAGGGAGGAGGAAGAGAAAGUCAAGGAGAAGAAGGCUGCUGCGCCUGAGCAGCCACCAGCCGCUGCGCCAACGAAGCGGCGCAACAGGUGGGAUCAGUCGCAGGACGGCGAUGCUGGUGUUGGGGCCAAGAAGGCGAAGACCGGCUCGGACUGGGAUGCACCUGACGCAACUCCGGGGAUUGGACGCUGGGAUGCCACCCCUGGGCGUGUUGGAGAUGCCACGCCCUCUGUGAGGAGGAACAGGUGGGACGAGACGCCAACUCCAGGGAGGAUGGCUGAUGCAGAUGCAACCCCAGCAGCUGGUGGCAUUACUCCAGGAGCCACACCUUCUGGUGCGUGGGAUGCUACUCCUAAGCUGCCUGGUGGGCUUGUCACACCGACCCCCAAGAAGCAGAGGUCGCGGUGGGAUGAGACGCCGGCGAGUAUGGGGAGUGCAACGCCUGGUGGUACGGCAGCGACGCCUGCGUCUUACACUCCUGGAGCAACGCCGUUUGGAGCAGAAAACCUUGCGACACCAACACCUGGCCACCUUGCUCAUGGUGCGGUGACCCCGGAGCAGUGGCAGCUCAUGAAGUGGGAGAGGGACAUUGAGGAGCGCAACAGGCCUCUCACUGAUGAGGAGCUUGACUCCAUGCUCCCGCAGGAGGGGUACAAGAUUCUUGAACCUCCAGCUUCGUACCAGCCAAUACGUACUCCGGCGAGGAAGCUGCUUGCUACGCCAACACCUCUGACCACACCACUUUAUAAUAUUCCAGAGGAGAAUCGUGGACAGCAGUAUGAUGUGCCCAGGGAAAUGACUGGUGGGUUGCCAGACAUGAAGCCAGAAGAUUACCAGUACUUUGGACCAUUGCUGGAUGAGGACAACGAGGAGCAGCUAACCCCAGAGGAGCAGAAGGAGAGGAAGAUCAUGAAACUUUUGUUCAAGGUUAAGAAUGGCACGCCCCCGCAGCGGAAGACAGCACUCCGGCAGCUCACAGACAAAGCACGGGAAUUUGGUGCUGGUCCUCUGUUCAAUAAAAUCCUGCCAUUGCUCAUGCAACCAACACUUGAGGACCAGGAGCGGCAUCUCCUGGUGAAGGUCAUUGAUAGGGUGCUGUAUAAACUGGAUGAGCUGGUCCGUCCAUUUGUGCACAAGAUUCUGGUGGUUAUUGAACCACUACUGAUUGAUGAGGAUUACUAUGCUCGUGUUGAGGGCAGGGAGAUUAUUUCAAACCUGAGCAAAGCUGCUGGUCUUGCUACAAUGAUUGCUGCCAUGAGACCAGAUAUUGAUAACAUUGAUGAGUAUGUGAGAAAUACAACUGCUAGGGCAUUCAGUGUGGUUGCUUCUGCUUUGGGUAUCCCAGCCCUCCUUCCAUUCUUGAAGGCUGUCUGUCAGAGUAAGAAGUCAUGGCAAGCUCGGCACACUGGUAUCAAGAUCUGUCAGCAGAUUGCUAUUCUCAUGGGCUGCGCUGUUCUGCCUCACCUUAAGAGCCUAGUUGAGAUUAUUGAGCAUGGUCUUAGUGAUGAGAACCAGAAAGUACGGACGAUCACUGCCCUCUCUCUCGCUGCACUUGCUGAAGCUGCUGCACCCUAUGGUAUAGAAAGUUUUGAUAGUGUGUUGAAGCCUCUCUGGAAGGGUAUCAGAUCUCACCGUGGAAAGGUUCUUGCUGCCUUCUUGAAGGCUAUUGGUUUCAUCAUACCUCUUAUGGAUGCUCUGUAUGCCAGUUACUACACUAAGGAGGUGAUGCAAGUCCUAAUUAGGGAAUUCCAGUCUCCAGACGAAGAGAUGAAGAAGAUUGUCCUGAAGGUUGUUAAACAGUGUGUCAGUACAGAGGGUGUUGAGGCUGAUUAUAUCCGGUCUGACAUCCUUCCAGAAUUCUUCAAACACUUCUGGGUUAGGAGGAUGGCUCUAGAUCGUAGGAACUAUAAGCAACUUGUGGAAACAACCGUGGAGAUGGCAAACAAGGUGGGAGUUACUGGUAUCGUUGGUAAGAUUGUGGAGGAUCUGAAAGAUGAAAGUGAGCCUUAUAGGAGAAUGGUGAUGGAAACAAUUGAGAAGGUGGUGGCUAAUUUGGGUGCCUCAGAUAUUGAUCCUCGUCUGGAGGAGCUACUUAUUGAUGGCAUCCUGUAUGCUUUCCAAGAGCAGACAAGUGAUGAUGCAAAUGUAAUGCUUAAUGGUUUUGGAGCGGUUGUGAAUGCACUUGGCCAGAGGGUCAAGCCUUACCUUCCUCAGAUAUGUGGUACCAUCAAGUGGCGGUUGAACAACAAGAGCGCAAAAGUUAGGCAGCAAGCUGCUGAUUUGAUCUCAAGGAUAGCCAUUGUGAUGAAGCAGUGUCAGGAGGAGCAGCUUAUGGGUCAUCUGGGUGUUGUGCUGUAUGAGUACUUGGGAGAGGAGUAUCCUGAGGUACUGGGUUCAAUUCUUGGAGCUUUGAAGGCUAUUGUUAAUGUCAUUGGUAUGACCAAGAUGACACCGCCUAUCAAGGAUCUUCUACCUCGGUUGACCCCCAUCUUGAAGAAUAGGCAUGAGAAGGUCCAAGAGAACUGCAUUGAUCUAGUUGGUAGGAUUGCUGAUCGUGGAGCAGAAUUUGUACCAGCAAGGGAGUGGAUGAGGAUUUGCUUUGAGCUGCUGGAAAUGUUGAAGGCUCACAAGAAGGGCAUCAGAAGAGCUACUGUGAACACAUUUGGUUAUAUUGCAAAGGCAAUUGGGCCACAGGAUGUGCUGGCCACUCUGUUGAAUAACUUGAAAGUGCAGGAGCGGCAGAACCGUGUUUGCACUACUGUAGCAAUUGCUAUUGUUGCUGAAACUUGCUCGCCUUUCACAGUUUUGCCUGCCCUCAUGAAUGAGUACCGGGUUCCGGAGCUCAAUGUCCAGAAUGGUGUUUUGAAAUCUCUCUCAUUUCUCUUUGAGUAUAUUGGUGAGAUGGGCAAAGAUUACAUAUAUGCUGUCACUCCCUUGCUUGAAGAUGCUCUAAUGGACAGGGAUCUAGUUCACCGGCAAACUGCUGCAUCUGCUGUUAAACAUAUGGCUCUAGGGGUUGCUGGCUUGGGCUGUGAAGAUGCUCUUGUCCAUUUGCUUAACUUUAUCUGGCCCAAUAUAUUUGAGACAUCUCCUCAUGUCAUAAAUGCUGUCAUGGAGGCUAUUGAGGGAAUGAGAGUUGCUCUAGGUGCAGCUGUGGUUCUGAAUUAUUGCCUCCAAGGUCUUUUCCAUCCAGCAAGGAAAGUACGUGAAGUAUAUUGGAAGAUCUACAACUCGCUAUAUAUUGGUGCACAAGAUGCACUUGUUGCUUCUUAUCCUGCACUGGGGGAUGAUGGAGACAAUAUCUUCAGCCGUCCAGAGCUAGCCAUGUUCGUCUGAUCAACUUUUUUAGGUAUGGAUAAAUAAUUGCCCCACUAGGAGAUUGGAACUCCUUGCCCCAGUCACUGAGUCAGGCUGCAAGGUCAUUUGACCAUUUCAGCUGUAGCAAGUGGCAGGAUGUGCAUGUCCAUGUACCGACAUCCAUAUGCAUCAAUGCAUGUGGAGCUUGAACUGGGGUGGUAUUUGAAUUAGAGCACACAUUUAAUUACUCGGUGUUGUUGUUGUGAUGUCUGUCUUUAUUGAAGGGUGUUUCGGUCCAAGUAUCUCGCUGAAUCUUAUCUGGAUUCAAGACGGGUCAGAGUAGUUGGAGCGUAUAAUAGUCCUGUUGUCAAGAGUGAAGACAAUUUUAUCAUCUUAUAUUUAUGUAAUAUAUUUGUUAUGGUAUCUAUUACCGUUCUCAAAACUUUGUGUUAACAAUGUUUUGUAAUGGUGUAAAUCAUUGAGUUAUGUACUGUGACGGUUCUGCAACAUGGUUAUGCUUUAAACGAUUUGCCUA